rnacentral:rRNA from 1 species
GACAGAGGGUGCAAACGUUGCUCGGAAUUACUGGGCGUAAAGCGCGUGUAGGCGGAUUCGCAAGUCAGAUGUGAAAUCCCCGGGCUCAACCUGGGAACUGCAUUUGAAACUGCGAGUCUUGAGUGCCGGAGAGGGUAGUGGAAUUCUCGGUGUAGAGGUGAAAUUCGUAGAUAUCGAGAGGAACACCGGUGGCGAAGGCGGCUACCUGGACGGUGACUGACGCUGAGACGCGAAAGCGUGGGGAGCAAACAGG